AUUAACAGAAGCCACGUGUCUUCUUAAAAUUAAUUCGAUAACGAAUCCGGAAUUAAUACGAAAUCGGUUUUAGUUUUGUCGAUGACAAAAUAUACGUCACAUUUUUACGUCACGGAGGCAGAAGAUCGAACUGCAGGAUGGAUUUAGCAGAGCCUGAAGAUUUUGUAAUGAAUGAUCCAGGAUCCAAAAGUUCUUCGCGGAGUUCAAAGACAGUUGCAAUGUGGUUGCUUAAUUUAGUGACAGAUUAAGAAAGAAGUUCAAACAAGCAGUGUCAUGGGAAAACAUUAAAAAGGAAGAAGUUGGUGGUGGACAAAAAUCAGGAUGAAUAUACAUGUACUGGAGAAACUAUUAAAGCACAGAAGAAUGACAACAAUAUAAUUCUAAAUGUAAUCAUUCAAGGAAUUAAAUUCAUUUUUAAUCUCGAAACUGUCUUUUUUCUGUAACUCUAAUUUUAGAUUAACAAGUAGCUGGAAAUACAAAAUGAAUGUUUCCAAAGAUCCACUGAAGUUACUGAGUAAUUAAUUGAAAUGAUUCAAGCAGCAAGAUGAAGUAUAUCAAGAAUGAACUGAAAAAUUAAAAAUAUUCAAGUAAUUUAAUUUUAAGCAAUUUACAUGCGAUAUGUAUGUAAUUCAUGUGAAAAACGUACGUUUGAUCCACAUACGUAAAACAUAUGGAAUGUAUCACGUAUGUCUAACACACGUGUAACAUACGUUUCACAUAUGUUCAUUAACGUACGUUAAACACACGUGGUACUUAAAUCACGUUAAACGUACGUGAGGUCACAUACGUAUCACACAUGUUUAACGUAUGUGAAACGUAUGUGGCACAUU